GGAACACUCAGCGUGCAGAAACAGCGAACCGCAGGACAAACACAUCAACAACACAAACAAGAUGCUAUGGGGACGAGCGACACCGCUAUCAUUUAGACUUUUAGUGGCCAGUAAGAAACUACAAGGACACCUCAGCAACUGCACAGCAACACCCUGGGCACCAUCCACAAUACCUGUAAUUAUGUGGGCCAGUCAUGUGAAACUCAUUUAAAAGACGAAGCCUGAUCACCUCCACAGCCAUUUUCCUGUCGGGUCAGAUGCGAUUUCCAGCCAUUAAAUAGUGACCUUGACACACAGCAUCCAGUCAGUAAAAAACGACAACCAUCACCAUUACCAUCUGUCUGGCUUAACUGUGCCCAAAUCUGCUACUUUCCUGACAAUACUUUAGAUGCCGUUUCUAGCGCUCUGUUGCAGGAAUACACGCUGUUAAAACACAGCCCAAGGUUGGAUUUCGUAAAUGUGACACUAGACCUGGCCAGAUAAUGUUUGACCUUUACAAUGAUCUCUAUUCUGCCUCAUGGCAAAAGCAGGGAGCAGCUGCAAACUGUAGGUGUUCUGUCAAAUCAGACUUACUGAAUGUCUUCUGUGUUCUCAGGCAGCUAUGAUUACAGUAUCUUACUGCUAAAAUCAUUAUAGAGGUACUCAAAUAUAAAAACAAAUGUUUGAAUCGAUCAUUUUAAUUUUGGUGUAUUGGAAUUACGCUCCCAUUGUGUCAUUUUGCAAGCACCAUAUUUAAAGAUUUUCCAGUGUGAUAAGCAAGUCAGCAGCAGGCUUUGGGACAAAGACUCAUAGCUGCAUGAUUCUCGCUGACUUUGCAACCAAGAAAUGCACCAAUCUGAAUCCUAGAGUCUGACAGUGCCAUGUGUUUAAUAUGGAUAUAGCUUAUGA